GUGAGCAAGGGUGAGCGGUGCUUCAUUUUUGUUUGCUCAGCCCUUGCCGUUCGGCAAGGGUGAGGUUUGGUGCAAUUGGAGCCGAGAUCUUGUGUUGUUCGAGGUGCUGAACCUUCGGCUUCGGUGAGGUUUGAUUGUGUUCCAAAAAUUCGAGUGGCUGGCCCUUGCCGUUCGGCAAGUCUUGGCCACGGUUGGCCUUGACCUGAGCUUCGGCAGCUGGGUGCUCUCUCUCGGCAGGAAGUGUGCUUCGGCUGGGCAGGUUGUGGGAGUGGUGAGCACGGCUUCUUUGCCGAUCGGCAGGUGCAGCGGAGGUGCUGUUCGAGGGGGCUCUGCAGGUGGCUGGGCUUCG
rnacentral:lncRNA from 1 species